rnacentral:rRNA from 1 species
CUACGGGUUGCUGCAGUGGGGAAUAUUGCACAAUGGGCGCAAGCCUGAUGCAGCCAUGCCGCGUGUAUGAAGAAGGCCUUCGGGUUGUAAAGUACUUUCAGCGGGGAGGAAGGGAGUAAAGUUAAUACCUUUGCUCAUUGACGUUACCCGCAGAAGAAGCACCGGCUAACUCCGUGACAGCAGCCGCGGUAAUACGGAGGGUGCAAGCGUUAAUCGGAAUUACUGGGCGUAAAGCGCACGCAGGCGGUUUGUUAAGUCAGAUGUGAAAUCCCCGGGCUCAACCUGGGAACUGCAUCUGAUACUGGCAAGCUAGAGUCUCGUAGAGGGGGGUAGAAUUCCAGGUGUAGCGGUGAAAUGCGUAGAGAUCUGUAGGAAUACCGGUGGCGAAGGCGGCCCCCUGGACGAAGACUGACGCUCAGGUGCGAAAGCGUGGGGAGCAAACAGGAUUAGAUACCCCGGUAGUC